AUGGAUCAGCGUGGAUUUGUGCGCAAGUCCAUCGUCCGGAUCUCCUUCAAGUGGCCGAAUCCUGACAACAAGGGGAAGAUACUGACUGUCGUCCUCCCUGGCACCAUCGUCUCCAUCAAGGACGACGGAUCCUGCGUCGUGCUCGCGGAUCGCACAUUCUUCCGACGGGAGAACUGCCCUUUCGUGGUGAAUCUGCCGACUUCUGAGGGAUACGAUGCUGUGCCUGUGGCUCCAUCGAUGCAGUUUUUCGUACGUGGCUUCUGUGUGUUGGUUCUUCAGGUGCAACCAAAUGGUUAUCUGCAACCGGUGACAUUUGAGACUGGUCCUGUUCGGCGAGAGGAGGAAGUGUAUGGUUUUCUAUUUCCGCAAGAGGAUUUCUUCACGCCAACAAUGUAUUGUCCAGGAAACGUCAUUGGAGGAGAAAGCCCAUUGGGAAACUGGGUGCAUGAUAUUCCUUUUCAUUCAUUUGGUCGUUUCGGAUCACCUAUAUUCAACCAAAGUGGUCAUCUUGUUGGGAUAUCUUAUCAAAACAUGGACGCAUUGUCUGUGAAGUUCCUACAGUUAGCUGUGUUGAGUGAAGCAGAGAUCAGCAGUGUAUUGGGUAGUGUUUCCUAUGUGCUGAACGGAAACCCAAUACCACCCGAAGUCCCAAUUCUGCCCGAAGGACCGGUCCUGUCCGUCUAG
rnacentral:rRNA from 1 species